rnacentral:lncRNA from 1 species
UUUUAAACAGUUAAAAAUAUGCACAAAAGCAUUUAACUCAUGAAAAAUAUCAAAAUUAAUCCAAAAAAUAAAUUUAAUUCAUAAAAUGAAAGAUAAAAAUAUUUAAAGAUUUUUGGUGAAAGUCUCAUAUUUUUUGGAUUAAAAAUGAAAUUAAUAAGAAUUAAACAAAAUAAAGCAAUUAAAUGAAAAAUUAGAAAAUACAAAAAAACAAGGGCCAUCAGAUCUCCCUCAUUAAUUGAGGUGGCAGAUCUGAUGGUCACGCGCGCGCUAUCCAUGGUGGACUUCAGUCAAAGCCCACAUGUGUGGUAAUCAAAACCAUGGGCCAAGAUUAGAACGCUGGACCAAGAUCAGGUGGUUGGAACCUUGCCAACACACCACCGGAGCCCUAGCUCCGGUCAUCUUCUCCGAUGAGGGCCACCGGACUGGUCCAACCUAAACUUCAUGAAAAAUGGAAAACAAGGACAAUAUUUUGAAGAGAAAAUGCUCAGGAACUCGAAUAUGGCCUCAAUUUUCUCCAAUUCCAAGUAUAUAAAAAGAUACAGGAAUUUGAAUUUUGAGGAUCAUGAACUGAGUUGCUUUGAUUUGACCUCAAAGCAACUCAAUCUUCUUGCCUACAUUGGUAGGACUUCAGCCAACCAAAAAUCACAAAGAAUAGUGAAGAAUUGAGAGAGAAUCGAAGAUAUGAAGUUUCUAAAAUUUAACCUUCGAGUAGCUUCAAUUCAGCUUGAUCUUGAUCUGGAUUUGCUUGAUUCUUCCUCCUCUUGCUUGCAAUGAUCAAUUGAGAUGGAAAGGGAAAUGAAUUCUUAGAGUUUGAACUUCAAAACAGAAGGUGAAAUUCAAACUCGAUUUCAAUGAAAUCCUCAAGAAAUUCUAUGGAAUGAGAGGUCUGAGUUCUCUUGGCAAAGCUUGGGCAAGGUGUUGAUGCAUUUCUGAGCUCAGGGCACUUGUAUUUAUAGGCUUACUCAAUGCUUUUUGCACACUUCAAUUAAAAAUCCAAAAAUAGCAAUGAUCUCAUGCAAGCUUGAAUGGGCGUGUACAAAGCCCAAUCAAUAAUGUCAAAGACUCCAAACUCAAUUCCAAAUGAUGCUGAAACGAAAUCAAGGGACCAUGCAAUGUUGACAUGAAAUUGGUUACAAAUCUUUCCAAAUGGGACCAUGCAUUACACUGAUGCGUAAGUCUCUCAAUUUUAAUCCAAAUGAUAUGAUCUUGGACUUUUUGGAAAGAUGAGAUCAAGGGAAACAACUUUCAUGUUUAACACUUUUUCAUUUGAAGCUUUGAUCAUGAUGAAUUUUGAGGUAGAAGUUUGGAAAAUCAAAUAUAUUUGAAAAGUUUCUAAGUACCAAGCCAAAUGUUCACUUCUUCCACCUUGAAUAACAUUUUCUAUGGACUUCAAAUGGAAAAAGUUCCUUCAUCAAAGUUGUAUAUAUUUCAAACCUAUUCAAUUUAGUCAAAAAAUUUACCUCAUUUAGAUUUGGCAUGAAGGAGUUAUGUAUUUUAGAAGUUGAGGAAAAUCACUUGUUCAGUGGUAAUGGCCCAAAAUAACCUAUAAUGUUUCCUCUUGGCACAUGAAUUUACAAGUUUAAUUUGAACUUCUUCCAAACAUAAAAGUUGGAAAGGACAUCUCGAAUUUGACCAUGAAACUUGAAUGGCUUUCAUUUCAUAAACAUUGAUAAAGUUAUGGUCUUUGGAAGUUGACCUCCUAACUAGGGUUUAGACAAAAUGACCUAUCAUCUUUCACCAUAAAAAAUGACUUUUUAAGCAAAACUGGCUCUUGACUUCGACAUAAAAGUUGUUUGAAAUGUAAUUUUUAGUAACGUUUCUCUUGGAAUAAUUUUCAUAUGACAAAAAUUGUAGGAGAUAGGGUCUAAGGAACCCCAGUUUUGACUAGUUGAUUUUCUCUAGUCAACCACCUUGAACCAACUUGCUAACUUGACAUUCUCUUGAUCUUUUAGACUCAUGCAGGAUCAUAUAUGUGUAAGAUGUAAUAUGAAUUAUCCCUUGAAAUACUUGAUCAAAUGUUGAAGAAACUUGAUGAGGAAGUCACACAAGAUACCUAGAUGAAUUAGGGCUUCCAAGGCAAACAAGCUUUAAACCCUUGAUGAAUUCUUGAUCAAAAUUAUAAAUGAAGAUCAUGGGGAUCCAUAUAUGAUGUCUAGAGUCAAUGUUAACCAUCUCUUGAUUGAUCUCCUUGCAUUGAGGGUCUCCAACCCUAGAUAUGAGCUUGUUAGGGCAAUGGUGGAUGCACACACUACCUACAAAAGGAACAAAGCUAUACAUGGACAUAUUUUUGGCAUUUUGUUUAAACAAAGAAAAAUAAAGUAUGAUACAAUCAAAUGUGCUUGGUGACCUCUCCCAAUACAAAUCCAAUGAAUGAGGGGUAAGGAGGAUGUCAAGGUGUGAUCCCAAUGCCAAUGCAUAUGAUGAGAUGGCAUGAGGGAUCUUAGGAUCAAAAUUGGAGUCUUACAUAAAUAUACACUUAUAUAUGUAUAUAAGUUAUUAAAAACUUUAUACUUUAUAUAAAUACUCACAAUAAUACUAAAAUAUAUGCUUUCUCUAAAUAAAGAUAUUUUUUUUUCAAUUAUGAAAAAUAUUAUUAAAAUAUAUUACUAAACUAAAAUUUUUUACUGUUCUUUUACUAAACUAUAUUAUAAUACUAAGUAAUACAUUUUUUUACUAAACUAUUUUUAAUACUGUUUUUUAUAAAAUAUAUAUUUUUCCUAUUUGUAGGCUAUUUUAAACUAAAUUUAUAAUAUAAUAUUUAUUAAAAAAAUCCGAAAAAACAAUUCUACUUAUUUAUACUCACUCAUUUUUCUCUAUUUAUAAUGUAUUAUCUAUUUAUUAUGUUUUUUGUACAGUUUUUUUAAAUGUUAUCAAUCUUUAAUACUGGCUUUUUUAUAAAAUAUUUAUUAUCCCUAUUUUGAAGGAUGGAGAAGGAAGAAAGAGAGAGAAAAAUAAUGGGAAGAAAAUGUUUCUCUGGGAAAUGAGAAGCGGAAGAGCACAAGUGUUAUUUCAAAGAAAAGAGAAAAUAUCGAUAAAAUUCAAGGGAAAGAUAAAAAGGGUAAAGAAGUCGGUUAUGCAAGGGGAAGAAGAUAUUAGCACCCCUGACAUCCGUUGUACUCAACGAGAACCAUUUUGAUUGUUCUUUGCGCGAAUAAAUGUUAUUAUCUAAAGGUUAUUUGCAACUGAUCUUAAUAAAGGGAAAACAUAAGUUUAUUAAUUAAUGUGUUCGCCAAGGAUUUGAGUCAUCGUUUCUGCAUAUUCUCAUAGUGCAAUGAGAAAAUCAGAGCUUCGUAGUUCGUGGUAGAAAAUUACGAACUUGUUGGUUAUUUUAGGAAACAGUUAUAAUCAUAUCCUAGAAGUUCUUUGACGUUAGCUAAUUCUAAUCCUCGCUCGAAUGCUUUAAGCUUUUACUUCGACUGCUAAGGAACGAAUUAUAACUGUUUUUUUAUGAAAAGAAAGUUGUUUUGUUUUAAAAAGGUUUUAUGAUUGAAUUGAAAAGGUUGUUUGUGGAUGAAAUUGGAAAAAAAAGGAUUUGUGAAAUGAUAAAAGUAUUGUUUGAACCAAGAGUGUGUGGUUUGAACCUAUAGAAUGGUGUCUAAACAAGAAAUGUGGCAUUUAACCAAUAACUGGUGAUUAGCCAAUGUAGAGUUGUAUGGUUUUAUCUAGAUCCAGGGAUCAAGACCUGCAAGAAGAGGGUGUUUGCAUAAGCAUGAGACUAAUAAGGCAAACAUGCAAGAGAUGACUUGCCCAAGCAUGAGACUAACAAGGAAAGCAAGAGACGAGGGUUUUCCUAAGCACUGGGUCUGACAAGGCAAACAUGCAAGAAGGGGUUUGCCUAAGCAUGAGACUAACAAGGCAAACAUGCAUGAAAUGGUUUGUCUAAACAUGGGACUAACAAGACGGGUAUGCAUGAAAAGGGUUUUUCUAAACACGGGGUCUGACGAGACAAAAAUAAAAGGAUUAGGGGGUAUGCCUAAGCAUGAGACUAAUAGACAUACAUGCAUGAGAAUGAAAGGUUUGUCUAAGCAUGAGACUAAUAAGGCAAACAUGCAUGAAAUGGCUUACCAAAGCAUGAGACUAAUAAGGUAAGCAUGCAUGAGGAAAGUUUUAACCAUGAAAAGAUUAUUAACCCAUGCAGGAGUCGUUUAACCAAUAACUGGUGAUUAACCUCAAGUGUUUUAUGUGGUUUAUAAAUGGGUGUUUAACCUAGAGGAGGUGAUUAACACAUAAUUGAUUAUUAACUCCAAUGCUUUAAUGACUCCCCUCACAAAAUGAGCGAUCAUAUUUUGCUGGGAUAUCCCCUCGCAAAAGAAACAAAUGUCGGGCGAAUCAUUAAAGCAUUGGAGUGCCCCUCUCAACAGCAACAAAAAUAGUUAGUUUGGGACCCUUACAAACACUCACAUUAAAUGAUACAAAUUCCAUCUGUAUUGGUUUAUUGAAAAAAUCAAUUUCAAAAUUUAAUUUUUUUCUCGUUUAAUUUUAUGAGAGUAAUCCAAACGCCAAUUAAUUUUUUAAAUUUUGUUUUUCAUUUUAUACUUUGCGAGGGAUUUAACCUCAAAUAUUUAGCUACGGAUUUUAUUCCUGACAAUUUUUCCUUUGCAAAAUAGAUUUUUCUUAGUGUCAUGUAGUGUGAAAGUUAACGUAUAUAAAAUAAAAUUACCACAUUAUAUUACAAAUAUUAACUUAUUUCAUUCACUAUUAUAUAAUAUCUGUAAAAAAAAUUAUUAAUCUCAAAAUUAAAUAACAUAAUUAAUUUUAUAAUAUUUAUCGCAAAACAAAACGAGACAAUUAAUUUAUGAGAAUUUGUGAUAUUGCUAACAAGACAAUUUUAUUAAUUUACAAGUGAUUUUUUUUCAUUUUGUAAGUCAUCUAUUAUGUGUCUAUUGACACAAAUUGCAAAACACAAUUUUAGCGUCCAUCAUAUGUAUCCAAAAAUUUAUAAUGAGCAAAUAACGUCAAGAUUUUCUAAACAAAUUAUUUUUUAAAAAAAACAAAUAAAAUUUCUCAUUAUAGCUAAUCAUUUGGAACACAUGGUAUUCGGUUCUUGUGGGUAUUAGCUUUGAUCUUUAUGAAUUAAUCUUUUAACCAUAUUGAGAUUAAGAACAAUUAAAUCCUGAGAAUCCAAAUUUUUUAUGUUAAUAGAAAAUAUAUAAAUUUAUUAUAUUCCUCACUCAUAAUUAAUCUCUAAUCAUAUAUUUCUCACAAAUUUAAUAUCCUCAAAAAACAUUAGUGCUGAAGUUAAAUAAUGAUAUGAGCAAGGAUAAAAAAAAUAACCUUUAAAUUUAUGAAAUGUUGAUCUAUCAAAUAUUAUAGAAAUAUUUGAAUGGAUUAAAGGAAAAAACUCUCUAAAUAAUGACGACAAUAAUUUUAAGACACAGGGAAAGAAAGAAAAAUGAUGUAGGUUUGUUGACUUGUGGUUUAUCCUCAACGUAAAUUUCUCAUACCUUAAAUUUCUUCAAAUAAAAAGAAUAGAUGACAUAUAACUUGCUCAAUAUAUUAUUAAAGCCCAUAUAUAUAUAUAUAUAUAUAUAUAUAUAUAUAUAUAUAUAUAUAUAUAUAUAUAUAUAUAUAUAUAUAUACUCUCUNNNNNNNNNNNNNNNNNNNNNNNNNNNNNNNNNNNNNNNNNNNNNNNNNNNNNNNNNNNNNNNNNNNNNNNNNNNNNNNNNNNNNNNNNNNNNNNNNNNNNNNNNNNNNNNNNNNNNNNNNNNNNNNNNNNNNNNNNNNNNNNNNNNNNNNNNNNNNNNNNNNNNNNNNNNNNNNNNNNNNNNNNNNNNNNNNNNNNNNNNNNNNNNNNNNNNNNNNNNNNNNNNNNNNNNNNNNNNNNNNNNNNNNNNNNNNNNNNNNNNNNNNNNNNNNNNNNNNNNNNNNNNNNNNNNNNNNNNNNNNNNNNNNNNNNNNNNNNNNNNNNNNNNNNNNNNNNNNNNNNNNNNNNNNNNNNNNNNNNNNNNNNNNNNNNNNNNNNNNNNNNNNNNNNNNNNNNNNNNNNNNNNNNNNNNNNNNNNNNNNNNNNNNNNNNNNNNNNNNNNNNNNNNNNNNNNNNNNNNNNNNNNNNNNNNNNNNNNNNNNNNNNNNNNNNNNNNNNNNNNNNNNNNNNNNNNNNNNNNNNNNNNNNNNNNNNNNNNNNNNNNNNNNNNNNNNNNNNNNNNNNNNNNNNNNNNNNNNNNNNNNUAUAUAUAUAUAUAUAUAUAUAUAUAUAUAUAUAUAUAUAUAUAUAUAUAUAUAUAUAUAUAUAUAUAUAUAUAUAUAUAUAUAUAUAUAUAUAUAUAUAUAUAUAUAUAUAUACCCUCUCGGCCACUACACAAAAAUUUAGAAAAGUUAUUUUAAUAUUAAGUUUAUCAAUAUCAUUAUUACAAGAGAGAAAUGAUUACUCUUUUGAUUCUUCCCAUUCAAAUUUUUAGUAUUUUUGAGGGGAAAAAUCAUUAGUAUGUAUGAUAUUAAUUUUUACAUAGUAUAGGUAUACAAAAUUAUUCUCUACCACAACCAUUUAAAAGUACUACUUUAAAUAUAAUUAAGAUGAAAAUUAAAUAUUUGCAAGAACCUACUGCUACAAUGAAUUGAUGUAAGAGAAUGCAUACGAAUUAAAUUCGUCUGAUAAUCAGAAAAGAAUCUGAUAAAUGAAACAAUAAAACUUAAAAAGAUUUGUCAUAGAUAAUAGUUUACUAUUAAAAUAGAAAACACAUAGAUUAAAAAAAUAUUAUGAUAGAAGAAUAACAAAAAAGCAAGAGCAUUUUGUGGAACCAGUACUCCAAUCAUUCUAGUAAUAGUUUAACAAAUUAUUUGUUUAAAACUUCAAAUGAGCUUCUUCUCUCUGUUUUGUGUUUAUCUCCCUUAUAUAGUGGAAUACAAUUUGUUAAAAACCUAGAACAUGUGAUUGUCUAUAUCUUUAAAUCACCACCCUAGAAAAUAAAUAAUUUAUAAUAUGCAUAUUUAUUAUCACCCACCCUUGUUGAAUGAGAAUAAGGUUCUUUUUUUACUACACAGCAUUCAAAGAAAUUCUUAAUAAAGUGCUAUCCUGCAAGCAUAUUGGUUAAAUAUUUCUUUUUUAUGAUUAUGUUAUAUUAAAAUAAAAUAUAAAUAAUGGCGAAGAAUUAUCCUGAGUGAAGCUACUAUAAGAGGUGGACAAAUGGCAUCCAAUUCUUAUCUUCUGUUUCUAUAAGCCAACAACUAAAUAAUGGUUAUUAGUGAAUGUUCUUGGAGGAUAUCUUCAAAGUAGUUUACAACUUCAUUUAUUUGAUUUUAGCAAUGAUUUGAAUAUAUUUAUUUUCAUUUUCUCUCCAAAUAAACAGGGAUGAUCUACAUAGUAUAAAAUGGGGGCGUGUGUAUGGUACAAACUAUAUAUAUAUAUAUAUAUAUAUAUAUAUAUAUAUAUAUAUAUAACCUAUUAUUCNUAACGUAUAUAAAUAAAAUUACCACAUUAUAUUACAAUAUUAACUUAUUUCAUUCACUAUUAUAAUAUCUGUAAAAAAAUUAUUAUCUCAAAAUUAAAUAACCAUAAUUAAUUUAUAAUAUUUAUCGACAAAACGAGACAAUUAUUUAUGAGAAUUUGUGAUAUUGCUAACAAGACAAUUUUAUUAUUUACAAGUGAUUUUUUCAUUUUGUAAGUCAUCUAUUAUGUGUCUAUUGACACAAAUUGCAAAACACAAUUUUAGCGUCCAUCAUAUGUAUCCUCUUUUAUAAUGAGCAAAUAACGUCAAGAUUUUCUAAACAAAUUAUUUUUAAAAAAAACAAUAAUUUCUCAUUAUAGCUAAUCAUUUGGAACAUGGUAUUCGGUUCUUGUGGGUAUUAGUUUGAUCUUUAUGAUUAAUCUUAACCAUAUUGAGAUUAAGAACAAUUAAUCCUGAGAUCCAAAUUUUUAUGUUAAUGAAAAUAUAUAAAUUUAUUAUUCCUCACUCAUAAUAAUCUCUAAUCAUAUAUUUCUCACAAUUUAAUAUCCUCAAAAAACAUUAGUGCUAAGUUAAAUAAUGAUAUGAGCAGGAUAAAAAAAAUAACCUUUAAUUUAUGAAAUGUUGAUCUAUCAAUAUAUAGAAUAUUUGAAUGGAUAAGGAAAAACUCUCUAAAUAAUGACGACUAAUUUUAAGACACAGGAAGAAAGAAAGAUGAUGUAGUUUGUUGACUGUGGUUUAUCCUCAACGUAAAUUUCUCAUACCUUAAAUUUCUUCAAUAAAAAGAAUAUAUGACAUAUAACUUGCUCAAUAUAUUAUUAAGCAUAUUAUAUAAUAAUAUAUAUAUUAUAUAUUUUAUUAUAUAUUAUUUAUAUAUAUAAUAUAUAUAUAUAUUAGUAUAUAUAUAAUUAUUAUUAUAUAAUAUUAUUAAUAUAUUAUAUAUAUAUAUAUAUAUAUAAAUCUCCUCGCCACUACACAAAAAUUAGAAAAGUUAUUUAAUAUUAAGUUAUCAUAUCAUUAUACAAGGAGAAAUGAUUACUCUUUUGAUUCUCCAUUCAAAUUUUAGUAUUUUUGAGGGGAAAAAUCAUGUAUGUAUGAUAUUAAUUUUUAGUCAUAGUAUACAAAAUUAUUCUCUACCACAACCAUUAAAAGUACUACUUUAAAUUAAUUAAGAUGAAAUUAAUAUUUGCAAGAACCUCUGCUACAAUGAAUUGAUGUAAGGAAUGCCAUACGAAUUAAAUUGCGUCUGAUAAUCAGAAAAGAAUCUGAUAAUAAUAAUAAGAAUAGAUAAUAUGUUUAACUAUUAAAAUAGAAACACAUAGAUUAAAAAAUAUUAUAAGAAGAAAGAACAAUAGAGCAUUUGUGGAACCAGUACUCCAUUUCUAGUAAUAGUUUAACAAAUUAUUUGUUUAAAAUUCAAAAUGAGCUUCUUCUCUCUGUUUGGUGUUUAUCUCCGUUAUAUAGUGGAAUACAAUUGUAAAACUAGAACAUUGAUUGUCUAUUCUUAAAUCACACCCUAGAAAAAUAAUUUAUAAAUAUGCAUAUUUAUUAUCACCCACCUUGUUGAAUGAGAAUAAGGUUUUUUUUACUACACAGCAUCAAAGAAAUUCUUAAUAAAGUGCUAUCCUGCAAGCUAUUGGUUAAUAUUUUCUUUUUUAUGUUAUUUAUAUUAAAAUAAAUAUAAAUAAUGGCGAGAUAUCCUGAGUGAAGCUACUUAAGAGGUAGGACAAAUGGCAUCCAAUCUUAUCUUCUGUUUCUAUAAGCCAACAACUAAAUAAUGUUAUUAGUGAAUGUCUUUGAGGAUAUCUUCAAAGUAGUUUACAACUUCGUUUAUUUGAUUUUAGCAAUGAUUUGUAUUUAUUUUCAUUUUCUCUCAAAUAAACAGGGAUGAUCUACAUAGUUACAAAUGGGGGCGUGUGUAUGGUAAAACAUAUAUAUAAUAUAUAGUUUAUAUUUUUAUAUAAAUAAUAACCUCUUUUGCUUUGGGUCAACCUAUUAUUCUUUCGGGUUUUUUAAAAAUCGAGAAGAUAUAACUAUAAAAAAUUUCGUUUCGAAUCUUCAUUACUGCAUUUUAUAUUUUCUCAUAAAUUUAAUCUUUUUUUUAGUUUCCGUCUUUUCAGCUUCCAUUUUUUUCUUCAUUUUUAUUAAUAUUAACUUCGAUUACAUACUUCAACUGAGAGGUAAUAUAUUUUGCAUUAAUAUUUUUAAAUUAUUUUUUUUAAAAGUUCUUUUUAUUUUUUUUAUUUUAUAUAUUCAUAUCUCUCAAUUUUUUUAUUUUAUAAAAGAACCGACGUGAUAGAUAUUUUAAAUGUAUUCCUAGAAUAUGGCGCUAUGGUUUUUUUACAUUUCUUUUUAUUUUUAAUUAAAACAUACACGUCGAUUUUAUUUGAAAAAAUCGAUGUGAUUUCUAUCUUGCAUGAAAUAUUUCAGAGAACUAGAUUCUAAUUUUUAAUUAUUUAUCAAUGCUCUAACUUCAUAUUAUCAUUCUCUUCGCAAAAUCCUGGACGAUUUUCAUCGUAAUUCUCAUAAAAAUGCUUCCAACUAUUGACAUUCAUCAACAUUCGAGCACCAAAAGUCAUCACGUUUAAUUUGUUCUUCUUUUUCAAGUUUGUUCUUCUUCCAACAAUAGGUUUAUAUCACUGAAAUGUCUUUCAUGUUCUAUGAGUUGUUUUUCACUUGCAUUUGUUUAUAAUUUGUUUUUCCAUUUUGAUCACUGGAAUGUUGUUAGUUAGUAUGUUUCUAUAUGUUGUUUAUCACUGAAAUGAUGUUAGUUAGUAUGUUUAUAAGUGUUGUUUGAUUCACGUUGGUGUCUAUGCUAUUUUUCUUUAUUUAUAUAGUCAUAGCCGAUUCGACAAGCAUCUCUCAUACAACAACUGUUGCAACCUCUAUUAAUACAAAAUGUAAAAGAAAAAGUAGAGAUGCCACGAUGUAUACCAAGGUGAAAAAAGCUCACGAAAAGGGUAUUCACCGUCCGGUUACAAUUGAUGUUGCAACCGACAAGACUUAUGGUGAAAAUGUUGAGGACUUUAUGGGUUACAUUGCGUUAUAAGGUAGUAUUUUGAUAGAUAGUUGGCACAACGUUGAAGAUGAUUUGAAAAACAACAUAUGGACCGAUAUUACGGUAUUUAUUUUGAAUUUUAUGAUUUUUUUUUCAAGUAUAUAUGAUCAUUUAUUUAUUUUUUGUUUAAUACCAAUAACAACUGUAUUGUGUAAAUAUAGGAGGUGUUUGAUGUUAGUCUAGAUGAUAGUAUGGUGAAAAAAAAAUUACUUACACAUGUCGGUGAGCAUUGAAGGGGCUUUAAGACACAACUCACCCAUAAUUAUAUUAAUAAUCCAAGAGAUGAAGAUGACCUUGAAUAUAAGCCUUCAUACUUGAUGUAUUCAUUUAUUGAUCAGGAUGUUUGCGAGAAAUUUAUAAAGUCUCGCACCACUCCUGAAUUUUUGACUGAGAGCGAAAAAGGAAAGUAUAAUAGAUCUAGAAAUAUCUAUCCAUAGAGGUUGUCCCGUGGAGGAUAUGAAAAACUUUAAAAUAAGAUUAUUGAAGAAAAAAGAAAACAAAGAUAAUUGGAGUUGAGAGAUUCUAUAAGCCCUUAUUGCACUUCAUUUCCAUUAUCACGCCAUGAGAAAUGAAAGAGGGCACGUCAAAGAAAAGGCCCGAGUUCACGUCAGAGGCUACACGUGAAGUGGAUGAAAAGAUUACAAGUUGAUACUUUUUUCAACAAUAUUUAUUUUAUUUAAAUAAAUUUGGUAAAUAUGAAAUUUUAUAUGUGUUGUACGAUGUACUGGGUGAACAAAUUAAAGUCGGCCUCUUCGUUCCAUAAGAUUGUCAUGACAUCUUGGUAGAAGCGAUUGGGACCGAGGAGCAUCCUGAGCGUGUACGUGGUCUUAAAGAGGCGUUGACUUCAAGUCACAUUUUUUACCAUCUAAAUCAUGUAAAAAAGUAAAUUAUAUGAGAGAUAUUGAAGAGAUAGUUGUUGUAUAGGUGGGGGAGGUAAGGGAGAAGUAGAUUCAGGAGGAGGGGGAGAGCUUGUUGUAGUAGGUGUGGGAGACCGUCUAGAAGGAGCAAGAGGAGCAAGAGAGGUUGGCCAAGGAGGAGAGAAAUAAGUCGAAGGAGGAAGAUCUUGAGAGGAAGUCCGAAAAGUGUACUUGCGAUAUGGUUGAGGUAUAAGUAUAAGUUUAAAAAAAUUGUUGUAUGUUUUUGUUUUUAUUGUUUGUAUAUUUUAAUUUGUUUGUUGUAUUUAUAUUGUUUUUAUGAUGUAGAAAUUGAAUUCAUUGGGUCUACUCAACCGAUCAAUUUCAAAUGCUCAAUUGUGCAGUCAUGAUAAAGUUAUGGAUGGUACAAGCACGAAAGAAAGUUGUUAUUGUUGGUGUAAGCCCUAGAGGCCAAUACUUUUGGUACUUGUAUCGAAUUAUUUAUUAAUAAUAAAAGGCAUUUUCUUUAUUAUGGUUGAUUAA